rnacentral:pre_miRNA from 1 species
AGACACAGCCCUGGGGACAGCGGAGAGAUGAUGGUCUGGGAACAUGUGCUGACCUCAGGCCACAUGUUUGCUGACCAUCACCUUUGGGACAGCCCCCUUUGCCCUCG